AGAGUUUGAUCCUGGCUCAGGACGAACGCUGGCGGCGUGCCUAACACAUGCAAGUCGAGCGGGGACAGUGAGGAGCUUGCUUCGAGCUGUUCCAGCGGCGGACGGGUGAGUAACGCGUGAGCAACCUGCCUUUCACUGGGGGAUAACGCAUCGAAAGAUGUGCUAAUACCGCGUAAGACCACAGCAUCGCAUGGUGCAGGGGUCAAAGGAGCAAUCCGGUGGAAGAUGGGCUCGCGUCCGAUUAGCUAGUUGGUGAGAUAACAGCCCACCAAGGCGACGAUCGGUAGCCGACCUGAGAGGGUGAUCGGCCACAUUGGAACUGAGAUACGGUCCAGACUCCUACGGGAGGCAGCAGUGGGGAAUAUUGGGCAAUGGGCGAAAGCCUGACCCAGCAACGCCGCGUGAGGGAAGAAGGGUUUCGGCUCGUAAACCUCUGUCCUAUGGGACGAAGGAAGUGACGGUACCAUAGGAGGAAGCCCCGGCUAACUACGUGCCAGCAGCCGCGGUAAUACGUAGGGGGCGAGCGUUGUCCGGAAUGAUUGGGCGUAAAGGGCGCGUAGGCGGCCUGAUAAGUCCGGAGUGAAAGUCCUGCUUUCAAGGUGGGAAUUGCUUUGGAUACUGUCGGGCUUGAGUGCAGGAGAGGAAAGCGGAAUUACCGGUGUAGCGGUGAAAUGCGUAGAGAUCGGUAGGAACACCAGUGGCGAAGGCGGCUUUCUGGACUGAAACUGACGCUGAGGCGCGAAAGCGUGGGGAGCAAACAGGAUUAGAUACCCUGGUAGUCCACGCGGUAAACGAUGAAUGCU
rnacentral:rRNA from 1 species